CACAUGCAGUCGAACGAUAGAAGAGUGCUUGCAUUCUUCGAAAGUGGCGCACGGGUGCGUAACGCGUAUGCAACCUACCUUAAUCAGGGGGAUAGCCCGAAGAAAUUCGGAUUAACACCGCAUAAAAUCACAGUACAGCAUUGUACAAUGAUCAAAUAUUUAUAGGAUUAAGAUGGGCAUGCGUGACAUUAGUUAGUUGGCGGGGUAACGGCCCACCAAGACCACGAUGUCUAGGGGAUCUGAGAGGAUGACCCCCCACACUGGUACUGAGACACGGACCAGACUCCUACGGGAGGCAGCAGUAAGGAAUAUUGGUCAAUGGAGGCAACUCUGAACCAGCCAUGCCGCGUGCAGGAAGACAGCCCUCUGGGUCGUAAACUGCUUUUAUUCGGGAAUAAACCUACUUACGUGUAAGUAGCUGAAUGUACCGAAGGAAUAAGGAUCGGCUAACUCCGUGCCAGCAGCCGCGGUAAUACGGAGGAUCCAAGCGUUAUCCGGAUUUAUUGGGUUUAAAGGGUGCGUAGGCGGCUUUUUAAGUCAGGGGUGAAAGACGGUAGCUCAACUAUCGCAGUGCCCUUGAUACUGAAGAGCUUGAAUGGACUAGAGGUA
rnacentral:rRNA from 1 species